rnacentral:rRNA from 1 species
UACGUAGGGGGCAAGCGUUGUCCGGAAUUAUUGGGCGUAAAGCGCGCGCAGGCGGCUCCGAGAGCCCGGCGUGAAAGCCCCCGGCUCAACCGGGGGAGGUCGUCGGGACCGUCGGGGCUGGAGGCCGGCAGGGGCGAGCGGAAUUCCCGGUGUAGUGGUGGAAUGCGUAGAGAUCGGGAGGAACACCAGUGGCGAAGGCGGGUCUCUGGGCAUCUCCUGACGCUGAGGCGCGAAAGCGUGGGGAGCAAACGGGG